rnacentral:rRNA from 1 species
UAAGGAAUAUUGGUCAAUGGACGCAAGUCUGAACCAGCCAUGCCGCGUGAAGGAUGAAGGUCCUCUGGAUUGUAAACUUCUUUUAUCUGGGACGAAAACGGGAUUUUUAUCUCAAUUGACGGUACCAGAGGAAUAAGCACCGGCUAACUCCGUGCCAGCAGCCGCGGUAAUACGGAGGGUGCGAGCGUUAUCCGGAUUUACUGGGUUUAAAGGGUGCGUAGGUGGGCUUAUAAGUCAGUGGUGAAAUCUCCGAGCUUAACUUGGAAACUGCCGUUGAUACUAUAGGUCUUGAAUUAUCUGGAGGUAAGCGGAAUAUGUCAUGUAGCGGUGAAAUACUUAGAUAUGACAUAGAACACCAAUUGCGAAGGCAGCUUACUACAUAUAAAUUGACGCUGAGGCACGAAAGCGUGGGGAUCAAACA